rnacentral:rRNA from 1 species
GGGAAAUGACAGAUUUAGAAAUAGAUCCUUCUUCGGACAUUUUUCAAGGUGCUGCAUGGUUGUCGUCAGCUCGUGCCGUGAGGUGUUAGGUUAAGUCCUGCAACGAGCGCAACCCCUGUCACUAGUUGCUACCAUUCAGUUGAGGACUCUAGUGAGACUGCCUACGCAAGUAGAGAGGAAGGUGGGGAUGACGUCAAAUCAUCACGGCCCUUACGUCUUGGGCCACACACGUAAUACAAUGGCCGGUACAGAGGGCAGCUACACAGUGAUGUGAUGCGAAUCUCGAAAGCCGGUCUCAGUUCGGAUUGGAGUCUGCAACUCGACUCUAUGAAGCUGGAAUCGCUAGUAAUCGCGCAUCAGCCAUGGCGCGGUGAAUACGUUCCCGGGCCUUGUACACACCGCCCGUCAAGCCAUGGAAGUUUGGGGUACCUGAAGUCGGUGACCGUAAAAGGAGCUGCCUAGGGUAAAACAAGUAACUAGGGCUAAGUCGUAACAAGGUAGGCGUAGUGCU